GUAGAUGUGGCUCAGUGGUACUGCUCUUGCCUAGCAUGCAUGAGGCCAUGGGUUCAAUCCCCAGCACCACA
rnacentral:tRNA from 1 species